GUGCUAGCUUCAGCAGCACAUAUACUAAAA
rnacentral:snRNA from 1 species